rnacentral:rRNA from 1 species
GACGAACGCUGGCGGCGUGCUUAACACAUGCAAGUCGAACGGAAAGGCCCUGCUUGCAGGGUGCUCGAGUGGCGAACGGGUGAGUAACACGUGGGUGAUCUGCCCUCCACUUCGUGAUAAGCCUGGGAAACUGGGUCUAAUACCGGAGAGAAGCCAUUCUGAGGGUUAUGGUUGGAAAGAUUUUUUGGGGUAGGGUGAGAUCGCUGGCUAUCAGCUUGUUGGUGGGGUAAUGGCCUACCAAGGCGGCGACGGGUAGCCGGCCUGGGGGGGUGGACGGCCACAAUGGGAACGGGGUAAGGGCCAGACUCCUAAGGGAGGCAGCCGGGGGGAAUAAUGGCCAAUGGGCGGAAGGCCGAUGCAGCGACGGCGCGUGGGGGAUGACGGCCUUCGGGUUGUAAAAUCGUUUCGCUAGGGACGAAGCUUUUUGUGACGGUACCUAGAUAAGAAGCACCGGCUAACUACGUG